rnacentral:pre_miRNA from 1 species
AAAAUAUUGCGUAGGAUAUUGCUACGAAUGUGGGACAAGUGGCUUUCGAAGCAAAGGCCUACGCAAUAUUUU